GUCUUCCCACUCUAUACGCUGUGAACGAGGCUGCCCGUUUAAUUUCGAUUUCAUCUGUGGCAGCGAUGGACAGAACUACGUUAAUCGCUGUGUCUUCGAAGUUGGACAAUGUCGUAAUCCUCGCCUGAGGGUACGAUGUAAAGGAAGGUGUGAGGAAUGUUUGUACGGAUGAAGUCGUUACCACUACGCCCUUCUUCAGCCUGUUCGUGACCUACAGCAGUAGCCUCUCUAUCAGGUUACUGAUAAGUAGCGAACAGGUCGGCAACAGUAUCGCCAACAAAGAAGAUUUUUGUUUUGAACAGCCCAGGUCCAUUUCGUGAACCUUAAAACUGACCAUAUUUUGAAAUGCCAAGAAGAAGAAGAAAAAACACUUAAUUAAACUGAA